GUCACCUCCCCAGUAGCAUAAUUGGAAAGACGCUAAGGGGCCCCGAAAUGCCGAAGUGCUGUAAAUUAGCAGCGUUCAAUCCCGAUGAACAUUAAACCGAGUGGGUCGCUAAUUCCUCCGCUCACGCUGCUCCCAGAGUCUUCCCACUGGGGGCUUUUGGCUCGGAGCAUUACAGGCCCAUUUGUUCUGCCUGGCUUCUCCAUCAGGGCAGGACCUCAAGGUUGAAAGCACCAACUGCAUCCAAGCAAAUGAAUUGCACCUUCUAGCCCAGCUUUGGGAUUAAAGGAAUAAAGAGGAAAUUUUGCAAGGCCUUAGGCAAAAACAAACAAACAAAAAAGCGUAAUGAGAAGAAAAACAUCAGACAAUCCCACUUGAAGGACAUUUAUGAAAUACCUGACCAGCCAUUCCUUACAACUG